rnacentral:lncRNA from 1 species
AGGCGGCUUAGGCAAUAAACCCUUGAAACAACACUCCAUUGAUGGAAACAAGUUCUCUGCUUCCUGGAAGAGGGUUUGAAAGAACAACUGAACUGAAUUAUUCAGCAUAUCAAACUCUCCACAUGAUGUGCCCAACAGAGGCAGAAAAUGGAAGAA